rnacentral:rRNA from 1 species
AUUGAACGCUGGCGGCAGGCCUAACACAUGCAAGUCGAACGAGUGGCGGACGGGUGAGUAAUGUCUGGGAAACUGCCUGAUGGAGGGGGAUCACUCCUGAAAACGGUAGCUAAUACCGCAUACCAUCGGAUGUGCCGAGCUGGGAUUAGCUCGUAGGUGGGGUAAAGGCUCACCUAGGCGACGAUCCCUAGCUGGUCUGAGAGGAUGACCAGCCACACUGGAACUGAGACACGGUCCAGACUCCUACGGGAGGCAGCAGUGGGGAAGAUUGCACAAUGGGCGCAAGCCGGAUGCAGCCAUGCCGCGUGUAUGAAGAAGGCCUUCGGGGUGUAAAGUACUUUCAGCGGGGAGGCGUUACCCGAAGAAGAAGCACCGGCUAACUCCGUGCCAGCCGCCGCGGUAAUUC